AUUGAACGCUGGCGGAAUGCUUUACACAUGCAAGUCGAGCGGCAGCGCGGGGGCAACCCUGCGGCGAGCGGCGAACGGGUGAGUAAUACAUCGGAACGUGUCCUUGAGUGGGGGAGUAGCUCGGCGAAAGCCGGAUUAAUACCGCAUAAGCUCUGAGGAGGAAAGCGGGGGACCGUGGUAACGGGCCUCGCGCUGUUGGAGCGGCCGAUGUCGGAUUAGCUAGUU
rnacentral:rRNA from 1 species